AUAGGAGAUAGCGGUCUUUACUUCGUAGUCUGUGGUAAUACCAUGGCCUACUAUUACAACGGUGGCCAUAGAAUCGCGACGUAGAAGAAGAGAAUCAAUUACAUUGUUUAAUGGCGUAGGUUUUCGUAGUUUUCGACGCGAUGUGAUUGUGUGUUAAUUGGUGGAGAAACAUUGUCGUAAUCGGAACGGAUUUCCAUAAUGUACACGUGUUGUAACCGACCAGCACAAAAUUGAAUCAUUUUUUUUCAUUUAUCACAAAUUGGUUAUCAGCAGCAUUUCCACUCUAUAGCAGCAGAAGCCAAGCUGUUCAGUCAACGGAAGACCAUUGUAAUUGCAGUUAAUGAGAUACAACAACUUUGUUGCCAAUAACAAGAUGCUGCAUUUAUUUUUGUCCACAGCCAAAAUAAAAUGCAACUUCUUUCACAGGAGUAACACAUUGUGUGGUUUAAGUUGUUAGCUACCAUAGUCUCCUGAUAGUUUGAGUCUGACAAUAAGCAAUACCAUAUUGUUAUUUGUUUCUUCCCUUUGCAGAGAUGUUAGCUUGUUGUGAUUUUAGACCACAGUAUAGACUGAGCCUUUGUAUCUGUGUCAAACCAGUUACAUCAACUCACUUGUUGUUGACACCCCUGGAGAUAUUACCAAACUUUUGAAAUGGUUGAAGUAGGCACCUAUAAUAUGUCAAUUCAAUUUUAGUGCUAUCAUUGUAAGGAUGGUAACCUGUUAUUAAGUUACACCACCUGUUUCAUUUGGCCAUAGGAUAGAUAGACCAAAAGAGUGAUACUCUUUAAUGUUUGCAGUGUGUUUGUCACAUUCAAUGAAUCCAUAUCUUCUCGUGAAUUGAUGGACUGAAUAAUGUCAGAUUGCCACAAAAAAAAAACACUGGAACCCUUCAGCAUGACUUUGAACCACAAGAUAUUGAUAUUUUUUACAUUCGCCUUUUGGGUUGAACGGUAAAGAGUUUAACGGUUCACUGUUUUAUCCGAAAAUCGUAUAUCCACGAAAUGUUGGCAUCAUUAGUCUAUGAACAGAUAUGCUGAUGACUGAAAUCAAUUGGAUCAGCUGAAAACAUAUGUUGAGACAUCUAUGCAACUUUGUACUUGGAUAUGUGUCAUUCCACUGGUAGUGGCUAAAGAAUCAAACUUGGAAUCGCGUGUCUUCAACCAACUCACCUCAUCUAGGCCUGACCAGUAUCGGCCCGAAGAAAGUAGUCAUCUAGUCACACGUCAGAUAACAAAUCCUGCUAAGAUACAUUUGGUUACCGACUUGACCUGCACGAGGAUUUUAGCCAUAUCGGAUAUCGGAAAGGAACACCUUUACCGAACAUAAUGUUCUUCUAACGUAAAUUAUUGGAUGUUCGUUCUAUGUCGGAUUUAGAUUUCAUUUAGAAAUCCUGGCAGAAGCUUUUCAUUUAUAAGACUAUAGAAGGAUUGCACACACUAAUGUUUUAAAGUAAGUUCCAUAAGCAAAAAUGCUUUGUGCUGAUUUGUUUUUGUUUUGUUUUUGUUUUUAGGUUAAUAUACGUAAUAAAUGGAAAAUGGGGUUUCAGAAUGAGGCGGGAGUUUUUGUCAAUGCUGAAGUUUGGAAACACGAUCGGAAAUACCCAUGAAAUGAAAAACAUUCUCUCGCGUUAUGGUAUUUGUCGUACAUAAAUUGAAGUGCAUAUCUGGGCUCCCUUCUUUUCUGUGGCUCCGUUUCCCCUUGA
rnacentral:lncRNA from 1 species